AGCGCGAGUGACAGCGCGCCCUCCGGGCUCCGGAGCGGCGGCGCCGAACAAUCCCGGGCAGGGCUCGCCUCGCCGGUGACAUCACUCCUGAAGAUACUCCUCGCUCCCAGCGCCUGCCUUCCCCAGGCGUCCGUCCGUGUGCCCGUCUCCGCCUUUCCGCCUCCGAAGAGCGCUCAUCACUGGCUGGAGACAGAGCCGGGCACCAAGGAGCGACAGGAUCCCGAGGAGAGAGAGAGAAGGCAGCGAGGGAAGGAGGACCCCGGCAGGCAGCAGCAUGAAAUUCAGCCCAGCGCACUACCUGCUGCCUCUCCUGCCCGCGCUGGUCCUCAGCACCAGACAGGACUAUGAAGAGCUAGAAAAGCAGCUGAAAGAAGUCUUUAAGGAGCGAAGCACCAUUCUUCGUCAGCUGACAAAGACAUCAAGAGAACUUGAUGGAAUUAAAGUCAGUCUUCAGUCCUUAAAAAACGAUGAGCAUUCUGCCAAAAUUGAUGUUCAGAAGCUUCUGGAAUUAGGACAGAAACAAAGAGAAGAAAUGAAGUCUCUUCAGGAGGCCCUGCAAAAUCAGCUUAAGGAGACAUCAGAGAAAGCAGAAAAACACCAGGCUACUAUUAAUUUUUUAAAGACUGAAGUUGAAAGAAAGAGCAAAAUGAUCCGAGACCUCCAGAAUGAGUUCUUACAACUCUCAGUUAUACCCAGUGAUGUCUCAAUUAGCACUUAUUAUAAAAAUUAAAAUUUAUAAUUCAACGUUAAUACCAUCCAGAAAAAGUUAAAAUAUAUUAAGAAUAGCCUAUUUCUCUUCAAUAAAGCAUAUAUAUAACUCUAUUUGUUAAUAUUUCUAUUCUCCAAAACAUUCUGUUUAUAGACAAGCCCUAUGCUAUUUCUAGUCAAGUGCUAAUCUCUUGAAUGAAGCUGAAUUAGGUAGUCAACUACGAGAUGUAUCCUGAGAAACAAGUAAUGUGUAUAUUUCAUUUAUUUUAUAAAUAAGAGCUAUAGACUGAGGUCACAAUCUUUUCAAGGGCUAUUACAUUCAUUAUUUUAAAUAACAUUUUUGAACAUCUAUCUUAUGUUGUUAAUUGAGGACAUUUCUGAGUGUAUAACAACGUAAGAAUAAUAGUUUUUAAACUUCAAAGAGAUGACAGGUUAAUGCAUAAAGGAGCAAUAUGAAAUAUCACAGAAUUCCUUGGCAUUAAAUGAUGUUUUGCAAAUACUGAACAGAAUGAUGUUUGUAAACUUUCCACUGGUUUUCAAGAGUCCCAAAACAUUAGGAAAAUGUACAUCACCUAAUUUUGUCACAUAUGUAUAGCUGUUUUUCCUUUUUGUUUCCAAGAAGCACAAUGUAGACCAAGAGGUAGAAAAAAUAUUUUUGAAGAUACAUGUUUAAGAUGUUCAGCUUUUGUCAAAUGAAGCAAUAGGUCACAAUAAUGUCACAGAGACAAUGGAUUGCCAGCUUAAUCCUCAGCAAUAACAUAAUACUCAUUAUCAGGCAUUUAUUCAUUUAUUUGUUCAUGAGUGCUAUCCAUUCACAUUCAUUAAAUAAUAACUAAAAGUUGAAUAAUGUUUUCAGCACUGGACACACAGAAAAAUCAGACAGAUUCAAUUUUUUGUUUAGAUGAAGAAGAAGGAACAGAAUACAAACAGC
rnacentral:sRNA from 1 species